GUCUCCUCUCUCUCUCUCUCUCUCUCUCUCACUCUUCCCAUCUAUAUCUCCCUCAGCGAGAGGAAACCCAAAAGCAUGAUAUCUUGCAGUUUUUAAAGAAGUGCUUAGAGUAUUACAAAGAUGUUGCUGGGAAAGAGACCUCGUAAUCCAAUGAAAAGGACGACAAGCUUGACAGAGAUCAAAUUUGAUCUAAACACUGCUAGUACUGAAGCAGCCCCACCGUCAGAUCAUGCUCAAAAACAGGUGGGAUAUGGUGGAAUGAUAGAUCAACGGUCCUCGGCUGCCACUGGAUCACCAAGAACCAGCCAUAGAAGGGCUUCUGCUGAUUUCUUGGAGACCGCUCACUUCUUGAGGGCUUGCUCUCUUUGCAAGCGCCGGUUGAUCCCUGGCCGUGACAUCUAUAUGUACAAGGGCGAUAGUGCUUUUUGCAGUCAAGAAUGCAGGCAACAACAAAUGAGCUUAGAUGAGAGAAAAAAGAAAUGCUCAUUAGCACCCAAGAAAGAGGCUGUAUCCUCCACCACCGCAACAGAAGUUUCCGCUAAAGGCGAGACCGUUGCCGCCUUGUAGAGUUAAUUACUUGCGGUCCUUCGAAAAAAACACUCGCUUAAUUAUAUAUAAAUAUAAUCCAGGUCUAUAUAAAUGUGGGUUUUGAUGCAGGCGUAUAUUUUGUAUGCACAUGGGCAAGUUUUGAAGCUCUUCUAAUUUACGUGGAUCCACUGCGCAUACAAUUAACAAGCUAGAAUUAAUGAGUGUUGUACUCCUUCCUAGUUUUUUUUUUCUGGUUUUUCUAUCGCCUUUUACUUUGUUUUGUUUUGCUAGUAAUGGAAGAAAGUUGCAGAUUCAAAAGA